UUUCAAUCAAUUUUGCACAUAUCUUUUUUCUACUUUUUCCUUCGUUCUUUUUCCAUUUUGGGUUUCUUCUAGGUUCUCUGCAUCAUUGUUAGUUUCGAUUCUGAAGUUGAGUGAUUGUUGUAGGUUCUUUUCUCGUGCUUUGCCUCUGAUUUUCCCAGAUCCUUUUUCUCUUCUUUUAAUUUCUGCCCUAUCUUCUUUGGGGUUCUCUAUAUGAUUUUUAACUUUGCAAUCUUAUGGCAAGUGUGUGUUAAAUCGAGUGGUAAAACUGUGUUUGCAUCUCUUCUCUUUAACAUCUUAAUUCCCUUUUCUCUCUCUUUCUGCUCAACAUUCCAAUCUGGAAUUUUCUAAGAGUGCACGGAGAAAAAGAAGUGCAACAACAAUUCAUCAUAAUCAAAGUGUAGCACCGAAAAAGGGCAAAAACCAGGUCUACUCCUCUUUCAAAUUUUUUCAGCUCUUCUUAUUCUUGUCGAAUCCAUUUUAGGGCUUCAUUUUCUGAUCUGAUUUGAUCUUUUGCGGUUACAAAGUAAAGUGUGAGGGAAAAUUUAGAGUCAAAGGCACAAUUAAUUCUAAAGCUAUCAAUUAUAAAAAAAGAACUCAAAUAGAAUGGAGAAAAGCUUUGUGUACAAAAUUUCCAAACUAUUUGGGAUCCUUUGGUCUCUCCAAUGGAGUAAGAGGAACAAUUGAAGCUCUGAGAUUUUCUUAAAAUACAAUGUUCAACUACUUGAGGAAGAAGGACAGAGCUUUCUAAAUGCUUGAAGGAUAACAGACUGUUUGUCGAGACCUUGAGAGUUGUUGUUUUAAGUCUCAGUAGCUAAAUAUCCUGAUUGGAUUUUUCGAGAAAAGAAACUUGGAAGCACAAAAAUGCAUGUGCUGCCUGUAGCAGAGAAUGUCCUGAGGAGAAACUUUAGGCUCCUUCAAAUGAGGCUAAGCUGAAAACUAAGUAAUAACUUGGUUUUCUAUGUAACUUGAGAGAGUUUGAAAAGGAAAUGAAGCUGUUGUGAGUUAAAUCCUUCCAAAUUGUGUUUCAUUCUCCAAUUUUAGGGAAAUAAUGAUGCCUCAAGUUGACAUAUGGAUGUGGAUCAAGUUUCAAUUAUUUCGUGCAUGCAAAUUCAUGCUUUCAUGAUCAAAUAACAAUCAGAUUCUGUUUCUGAAUGAUUUGUGUGGCCCUUUCUACAUUUUGAUAUAGAGUUGGUCAUCUUUUCUUCUGACUAUACUUUUAAAAAUUUUCUUAGCUUUUGCUUUGAUGUAGGAAAUUAUAGGUUUCUGUGCUAACUACCUACUGCUUGGAAUCAAAGAGAUACAUGUUCUAAUGUGAUAUUAUUUUAUAAGUGAUAGUUAUAUAAGUCAAACAGGUAAGGAACUACUACUUAGACCGCAAACUAUAAAUAGCCGCCAAUCCUACCACUUAAACUAAAAAUAGCCGGUGAAUGCAUAUAAUAUAUGUAUUACAUGUGUAUAAUUAUGUAUAAUCAAUGUAUAAUCUAUGUAUAUGACUAGAAAGAGUAAACAAUUAAUAUGGCCGACUAUUUGUG